GAUGAAGAACGUAGCGAAAUGCGAUACGUAAUGUGAAUUGCAGAAUUCAGUGAAUCAUCGAAUCUUUGAACGCAUAUUGCGCUCUCUGGUAUUCCGGAGAGCAUGCUUGUUUGAGUAUCAGUAAACACCUCAACUUCCAUAUCUUUUUUGAAAUGGGAGUUGGACUUGAGUGAUCCCAACGCUUUUCCUCACCGAAAAGUGGCGGGUUACUUGAAAUGCAGGUGCAGCUGGACUUUUCUCUGAGCUAUAAGCAUAUCUAUUUAGUCUGCCUAAAAACAGAUUAUUACCUUUGCUGCAGCUAACAUAAAGGAGAUUAGUUCUUGUGCUGACUGAUGCAGGAUUCACAAAGACAGGCUUCGGCCGACUUUGUAAACUCGAUAUCAAAUCAAGUAAGACUACCCGCUGAACUUAAGCAUAUCAAUAAGCGGAGGA
rnacentral:misc_RNA from 1 species